rnacentral:rRNA from 1 species
AGAGUUUGAUCAUGGCUCAGGACGAACGCUGGCGGCACGCUUAACACAUGCAAGUCGAACGAGAUCCAUGGAGCUUGCUCCGGAAGAUCUAGUGGCGAACGGGUGCGUAACACGUGAGAAACCUGCCCUAAACUUGGGAAUAACAGUCGGAAACGACUGCUAAUACCGAAUAUCUUCACGACGUCGCAUGGCGAUGUGAAGAAAGCUUUAUGCGGUUUAGGAGGGUCUCGCGGCCUAUCAGCUAGUUGGUGAGGUAACGGCUCACCAAGGCAUCGACGGGUAGCUGGUCUGAGAGGAUGAUCAGCCACACUGGGACUGAGACACGGCCCAGACUCCUACGGGAGGCAGCAGUGGGGAAUAUUGCACAAUGGGCGCAAGCCUGAUGCAGCGAUGCCGCGUGCGGGAUGAAGGCCCUAGGGUUGUAAACCGCUUUCAGCAGGGAAGAAAAUGACGGUACCUGCAGAAGAAGGUGCGGCCAACUACGUGCCAGCAGCCGCGGUGACACGUAGGCACCAAGCGUUGUCCGGAUUUAUUGGGCGUAAAGAGCUCGUAGGCGGUUCAGUUAGUCGGGUGUGAAAACUCUGGGCUCAACCCAGAGACGCCACCCGAUACUGCUGUGACUAGAGUACGGUAGGGGAGUGGGGAAUUCCUGGUGUAGCGGUGAAAUGCGCAGAUAUCAGGAGGAACACCAGUGGCGAAGGCGCCACUCUGGGCCGUAACUGACGCUGAGGAGCGAAAGCAUGGGUAGCAAACAGGAUUAGAUACCCUGGUAGUCCAUGCCGUAAACGUUGGGCACUAGGUGUGGGUCUCAACCAACGAGAUCCGCGCCGUCGCUAACGCAUUAAGUGCCCCGCCUGGGGAGUACGGUCGCAAGACUAAAACUUAAAGGAAUUGACGG